UCCUAGUUAACCUAGGCAGUCUCGUUAGAGUUCCCGCCUCUACGCGCUGGCAACUAACGAUAAGGGUUGCGCUCGUUGCUGGACUUAACCAAACACCUCACGGCACGAGCUGACGACAGCCAUGCAGCACCUAUAUAAAGGCCCUUGCGGGCAACGUAAUCUCUCACGUCUUCCUCUACAUUUCGAGCCCAGGUAAGGUUCUUCGCGUUGCAUCGAAUUAAACCACAUGCUCCACUGCUUGUGCGGGCCCCCGUCAAUUCUUUUGAGUUUCACCCUUGCGAGCGUACUCCCCAGGCGGCAUACUUAAUGCGUUAGCUUAGGUACAGAGGGGGUUGAUCCCUUCUACACCGAGUAUGCAUCGUUUAAGGCAAGGACUAC
rnacentral:misc_RNA from 1 species